rnacentral:misc_RNA from 1 species
CUGCGAGGGAACGCUUAAUUGAACCUUAUCAUCUACCAAUCUUUGAAUCUGUUUUGUUUUCCCACCACGACGCAUUUUUGUGAAGAAAAAGAGAGGAAAAAACCUGACUUUGUAAGCAUCAUUGCCACCUUUUGAAGGGAUUGGAUGAUGAUGCAUGCAUGGGAAGGGGAGGGGCGGCGCAUGCACCGCUUGGGGCUUUUUGGGGCUUUGGGGCUGUGGUGGUGGGGCUUGCAUGCUACAUGUGACCCUGGCACUGCUGUCUAUGAUGAGCGUCCAUAGCGCC